rnacentral:lncRNA from 1 species
UUUAAAACAGUCCUGUCAUUAGAUCUUACACACAAACAGCCUUUAUCUCUUGAGUUUGUGGACCACCUGUCCCACCAUCAUCCUCCCACCUGUCCCACCAUCUUCCCACCAUCGUCCCACAUCUGCCCACCAUCGUCCCACAUCUGCCCACCAUCGUCCCACAUCUGCCCACCAUCGUCCAACAUCUGCCCACCAUCGUCCUACAUCUGCCCACCAUCGUCCCACCAUCUUCCCACCAUCGUCCCACAUCUGCCCACCAUCGUCCCACAUCUGCCCACCAUCGUCCCACAUCUGCCCACCAUCGUCCUACAUCUGCCCACCAUCGACCCACCAUCGUCCCACAUCUGCCCACCAUCGUCCCACAUCUGCCCACCAUCGUCCCACAUCUGCCCACCAUCGUCCCACCAUCUUCCCACCAUCGUCCUACCAUCGUCCCACAUCUGCCCACCAUCUUCCCACCAUCGUCCCACAUCUGCCCACCAUCGUCCUACCAUCGUCCCACAUCUGCCCACCAUCUUCCCACCAUUAUCCCACAUCUGCCCACCAUCGUCCCACAUCUGCCCACCAUCGUCCCACCAUCGUCCCACAUCUGCCCACCAUCGUCCCACAUCUGCCCACCAUCGUCCUACCAUCGUCCCACAUCUGCCCACCAUCUUCCCACCAUCGUCCCACAUCUGCCCACCAUCGUCCUACCAUCGUCCCACAUCUGCCCACCAUCUUCCCACCAUUAUCCCACAUCUGCCCACCAUCGUCCCACAUCUGCCCACCAUCGUCCCACCAUCGUCCUACAUCUGCCCACCAUCAUCCUACCAUUAUCCCACAUCUGCCCACCAUCUUCCCACCAUCGUCCCACAUCUGCCCACCAUCGUCCUACCAUCGUCCCACAUCUGCCCACCAUCUUCCCACCAUUAUCCCACAUCUGCCCACCAUCGUCCCACAUCUGCCCACCAUCUGCCCACCAUCGUCCCACAUCUGCCCACCAUCGUCCUACCAUUAUCCCACAUCUGCCCACCAUCGUCCUACCAUCGUCCCACAUCUGCCCACCAUCUUCCCACCAUCGUCCCACAUCUGCCCACCAUCUUCCCACCAUCUGCCCACCAUCGUCCGGCCAUCGUCCCACAUCUGCCCACCAUCUUCCCACAUCUUCCCACCAUCGUUCCACAUCUGCCCACCAUCUUCCCACCAUCGUCCCACAUCUGCCCACCAUCUUCCCACAUCUGCCCACCAUCGUUCCACAUCUGCCCACCAUCUUCCCACCAUCUGCCCACCAUCGUCCCACAUCUGCCCACCAUCGUCCGGCCAUCGUCCCACAUCUGCCCACCAUCUUCCCACAUCUUCCCACCAUCGUUCCACAUCUGCCCACCAUCAUCCCACCAUCGUCCCACAUCUGCCCACCAUCUUCCCACAUCUGCCCACCAUCGUUCCACAUCUGCCCACCAUCAUCCCACCAUCGUCCCACAUCUGCCCACCAUCGUCCCACAUCUGCCAACCAUCGUCCUACAUCUGCCCACCAUCGUCCCACCAUCUUCCCACCAUCGUCCUACCAUCGUCCCACAUCUGCCCACCAUCUUCCCACCAUCGUCCCACAUCUGCCCACCAUCGUCCUACCAUCGUCCCACAUCUGCCCACCAUCUUCCCACCAUUAUCCCACAUCUGCCCACCAUCGUCCCACAUCUGCCCACCAUCGUCCCACCAUCGUCCCACAUCUGCCCACCAUCGUCCUACAUCUGCCCACCAUCAUCCCACCAUCUUCCCACCAUCGUCCCACAUCUGCCCACCAUCGUCCUACCAUUAUCCCACAUCUGCCCACCAUCGUCCGGCCAUCGUCCCACAUCUGCCCACCAUCGUUCCACAUCUGCCCACCAUCAUCCCACCAUCGUCCCACAUCUGCCCACCAUCGUCCCACCAUCGUCCCACAUCUGCCCACCAUCUGCCCACCAUCAUCCCACAUCUGCCCACCAUCGUCCCACAUCUACCCACCAUCGUCCGGCCAUCGUCCCACAUCUGCCCACCAUCUUCCCACAUCUGCCCACCAUCGUUCCACAUCUGCCCACCAUCAUCCCACCAUCAUCCCACCAUCGUCCCACAUCUGCCCACCAUUGUCCCACCAUCGUCCCACAUUUGCCCACCAUCGUCCCACAUCUGCCCACCAUCGUCCCGCCACUGUCCCACAUCUGCCCACCAUCGUUCCACAUCUGCCCACCAUCAUCCCACCAUCGUCCCACAUCUGCCCACCAUCGUCCCACAUCUGCCAACCAUCGUCCUACAUCUGCCCACCAUCGUCCCACCAUCGUCCUACCAUCGUCCCACAUCUGCCCACCAUCUUCCCACCAUCGUCCUACAUCUGCCCACCAUCGUCCCACCAUCUUCCCACCAUCGUCCUACCAUCGUCCCACAUCUGCCCACCAUCUUCCCACCAUCGUCCCACAUCUGCCCACCAUCGUCCUACCAUCGUCCCACAUCUGCCCACCAUCUUCCCACCAUUAUCCCACAUCUGCCCACCAUCGUCCCACAUCUGCCCACCAUCGUCCCACCAUCGUCCCACAUCUGCCCACCAUCGUCCUACAUCUGCCCACCAUCAUCCCACCAUCUUCCCACCAUCUGCCCACCAUCGUCCCACAUCUGCCCACCAUCGUCCUACCAUUAUCCCACAUCUGCCCACCAUCGUCCGGCCAUCGUCCCACAUCUGCCCACCAUCGUUCCACAUCUGCCCACCAUCAUCCCACCAUCGUCCCACAUCUGCCCACCAUCGUCCCACCAUCGUCCCACAUCUGCCCACCAUCAUCCCACAUCUGCCCACCAUCGUCCCACAUCUACCCACCAUCGUCCGGCCAUCGUCCCACAUCUGCCCACCAUCUUCCCACAUCUGCCCACCAUCGUUCCACAUCUGCCCACCAUCAUCCCACCAUCAUCCCACCAUCGUCCCACAUCUGCCCACCAUUGUCCCACCAUCGUCCCACAUUUGCCCACCAUCGUCCCACAUCUGCCCACCAUCGUCCCGCCACUGUCCCACAUCUGCCCACCAUCGUUCCACAUCUGCCCACCAUCGUCCCACCAUCGUCCCACAUCUGCCCACCAUCGUCCCACCAUCGUCCCACCAUUGUCCCACCAUCGUCCCACAUCUGCCCACCAUCGUCCCACCAUUGUCCCUCAAUCGUCCCACAUCUGCCCACCAUCGUCCCACCAUAUUCCCACCAUCUUCCCACCACCUGUCCCACCAUCUUCCCACCACCUGUCCCACCAUCUUCCCACCAUCUCCCCACCAUCGUCCCACAUCUGCCCACCAUCGUCCCACCAUCUUCCCACCAUCGUCCCACCAUUGUCCCACAUCUGCUGACCACCGUCCCACCAUUGUCCCACAUCUGCCCACCAUCGUCCCACAUCAUCCCACCAUUGUCCCACAUCUGCCCACCAUCGUCCCACCACCUGUCCCACCAUCUUCCCACCAUUUUCCCACCAUCGUCCCACAUCUGCCCACCAUCGUCCCACCAUCGUCCCACAUCUGCCCACCAUUGUCCCACUAUCUUCCCACCACCUGUCCCACCAUCGUCCCACCACCUGUCCCACCAUCUUCCCACCAUCAUCCUAGCACGCCUAGUCUUCUGA